GCGGCGUGCUUCAUACAUGCAAGUCGAACGAGAAGCAGGAGCUUGCUCCUGUGGAAAGUGGCGGACGGGUGAGUAACACGUAGGAAAUCUGCCUUUGGGUGGGGGACAACAGUUGGAAACGACUGCUAAUACCCCAUAUGAGCUUGGUUGCAAUACCAAUCUUGAAAACUCCGGUGCCUAAAGAUGAGCCUGCGUCUGAUUAGCUUGUUGGCGGGGUAAUGGCCCACCAAGGCGACGAUCAGUAGCUGGUUUGAGAGGAUGAUCAGCCACAAUGGGACUGAGACACGGCCCAUACUCCUACGGGAGGCAGCAGUAGGGAAUUGUGCGCAAUGGGGGAAACCCUGACGCAGCAACGCCGCGUGAAUGACGAAGCCCUUCGGGGUGUAAAGUUCUGUCAGUAGGGAAGAAUUUUGACUGUACCUACAAAGGAAGCACCGGCUAACUCCGUGCCAGCCGCCGCCGUAA
rnacentral:rRNA from 1 species